rnacentral:lncRNA from 1 species
CAAUGUUUAGAAUACGUGAUCUACAUAAAUAGGAGUAUUCUAAAAAUAUUUAGAAUACACAUUCCGCGCUUAACCUAUCGUUCUAAAAUCUUUAGAAAUCAAAAUCUACACAUUAAUAUAAAUCUAAAACACGUAGAAACCGACUUCUACAGAUUUACUAUAAAUCUAAAACAUGUAGAAAUCAAAAUCUAAACAUUACUAUAAUUCUAAAAAACUGUAGAAACCGAUUUCUACAUAUUAGUUGUAUUCUACGGAUAAGAAAUCAGUUCCUAAAAAUAUGGAAACAAAAUAUUUAGGAAUAUUCACUUUUAUAUUUUGAAAAAAAAAAUUGAUUUUUUUAAAAAAAAUAAAAAAAACGAACAAAAAAAAAAAAAAAAAAAAGGAAUAAAAAAAUUACAAUUUUAAGGGCAUUACUGCCAUUUUUAAAAAAAUUAGUCUAAUGGGACAUAAAGUAGUAUAGAUUAGUAUAAAGGGACAUAGUUACCAUUUUUUUGCUCUAAAAAAACAAUUUUCCCUAAUUUCUUUUCGAUUUAACGUCCUCAUUUCUCGGUUGGAACUACCCAGUCUCUACUCACAAAUCAAUUAAAAGGAAUAGCAUUUGGAAACUCAGUUAAAAGAGGUGUGC